AUGAACGCUAGCUACAGGCUUAACACAUGCAAGUCGAGGGGCAGCAUGGUCUUAGCUUGCUAAGACUGAUGGCGACCGGCGCACGGGUGAGUAACACGUAUCCAACCUGCCGUCUACUCUUGGACAGCCUUCUGAAAGGAAGAUUAAUACAAGAUGGCAUCAUGAGUCCGCAUGUUCACAUGAUUAAAGGUAUUCCGGUAGACGAUGGGGAUGCGUUCCAUUAGAUAGUAGGCGGGGUAACGGCCCACCUAGUCUUCGAUGGAUAGGGGUUCUGAGAGGAAGGUCCCCCACAUUGGAACUGAGACACGGUCCAAACUCCUACGGGAGGCAGCAGUGAGGAAUAUUGGUCAAUGGGCGAGAGCCUGAACCAGCCAAGUAGCGUGAAGGAUGACUGCCCUAUGGGUUGUAAACUUCUUUUAUAAAGGAAUAAAGUCGGGUAUGCAUACCCGUUUGCAUGUACUUUAUGAAUAAGGAUCGGCUAACUCCGUGCCAGCAGCCGCGGUAAUACGGAGGAUCCGAGCGUUAUCCGGAUUUAUUGGGUUUGAAGGGAGCGUAGAUGGAUGUUUAAGUCAGUUGUGAAAGUUUGCGGCUCAACCGUAAAAUUGCAGUUGAUACUGGGUAUCUUGAGUGCAGUUGAGGCAGGCGGAAUUCGUGGUGUAGCGGUGAAAUGCUUAGAUAUCACGAAGAACUCCGAUUGCGAAGGCAGCCUGCUAAGCUGCAACUGACAUUGAGGCUCGAAAGUGUGGGUAUCAAACAGGAUUAGAUACCCUGGUAGUCCACACGGUAAACGAUGAAUACUCGCUGUUUGCGAUAUACGGCAAGCGGCCAAGCGAAAGCGUUAAGUAUUCCACCUGGGGAGUACGCCGGCAACGGUGAAACUCAAAGGAAUUGACGGGGGCCCGCACAAGCGGAGGAACAUGUGGUUUAAUUCGAUGAUACGCGAGGAACCUUACCCGGGCUUAAAUUGCAGAUGAAUUACGGUGAAAGCCGUAAGCCGCAAGGCAUCUGUGAAGGUGCUGCAUGGUUGUCGUCAGCUCGUGCCGUGAGGUGUCGGCUUAAGUGCCAUAACGAGCGCAACCCUUGUUGUCAGUUACUAACAGGUUCUGCUGAGGACUCUGACAAGACUGCCAUCGUAAGAUGUGAGGAAGGUGGGGAUGACGUCAAAUCAGCACGGCCCUUACGUCCGGGGCUACACACGUGUUACAAUGGGGGGUACAGAGGGCCGCUACCACGCGAGUGGAUGCCAAUCCCAAAAACCUCUCUCAGUUCGGACUGGAGUCUGCAACCCGACUCCACGAAGCUGGAUUCGCUAGUAAUCGCGCAUCAGCCACGGCGCGGUGAAUACGUUCCCGGGCCUUGUACACACCGCCCGUCAAGCCAUGGGAGCCGGGGGUACCUGAAGUGCGUAACCGCGAGGAGCGCCCUAGGGUAAAACUGGUGACUGGGGCU
rnacentral:rRNA from 1 species